GGGGAUGUAGCUUAGUAGUAUGGCACUUGCCUAGUAUGCAUGGGGCCCUGGGUUCCGUCCCCAGUAUCACUG
rnacentral:tRNA from 1 species